CAGUCGCCACGGGAAUACGUAGGUGGCAAGCGUUGUCCGGAAUUAUUGGGCGUAAAGGGCUCGCAGGCGGUUUCUUAAGUCUGAUGUGAAAGCCCCCGGCUCAACCGAGGAGGGUCAUUGGAAACUGGGAAACUUGAGUGCAGAAGAGGAGAGUGGAAUUCCACGUGUAGCGGUGAAAUGCGUAGAGAUGUGGAGGAACACCAGUGGCGAAGGCGACUCUCUGGUCUGUAACUGACGCUGAGGAGCGAAAGCGUGGGGAGCGAACAGGAUUAGAUACCCCCGUAGUCCCUGUCUCUUAUAC
rnacentral:rRNA from 1 species